rnacentral:lncRNA from 1 species
GAGGUGGUUGCAACAGUACAGCUGUCCAAUUUUCAGUGAUACCUACAUAACUUACAGAACCAUCAGUACACCAGGGCCUAGAAUUCUUUUCCUCAGUCAACUGAUCAUAAGGCACAUCCAAUGAGGCAUGCUUUGGAGCAAAGAGCAUUGUAGCAGGAAUAGAAGCCACAGAAACUGCACCUUUCUGAACUAGAUGAUCACAUAAGAAUGACAGUCUGAUCUCUGACCAACCAGAGUGAAGCACAGGACCUUUGCAUUAUGGGUGGAAAGCAUAGCUGCCUUCCUGAAAACAUGGCUGACUUCCUGCAGGUGUGAUUGCCUGAUUUCUCACAGCUGGACACACUCUGCAAAUGUAAAAACUUUUGCUUUACUGGGAUA